UGACUACAUUGCCUGUCUUUGGAUCCCUUU
rnacentral:piRNA from 1 species